AUGAGAAAUCUGGGAGCUUUUAUUUCAUCUGAAUGUGUUUGCUUAUUGUUCAUGUCCACCAAUACUGGAAAUGGGAAUAAACAUAAACAGCACAAACAGCAAGCACUUCCUUGUCUUCAUGUUCAUCUGUCUUGUAGGUACUUAGCUGUUUCUGCUGGACUGUGGACUCCCUGGAAUGUAGCAACGUCCUGUGAAGGUGAUAGCCAGUUGUUAGAAGAUUCAUCACAUAAGUUCAUACAGAUGUUUUCCGACCUAUUGUAUAAUAAUACAGUUAUAGACAUCAGCUAUAGUGCCUUUCAGCUUUGUGCAUUAAAUUACAAAGCCAGAAAAACUUCUUAAUUCCACUCCUGGAGUGAUGGCUCUCCAGUCUGCUGAGCAUUGCAGUUGUCUUCUCAGCUGUUGUUUUAGAUUCGGCAUAUUUUCUUGACUCUGAGUGUCAAAGACCAUGCAUGGGAUUUCAGACAAAGCCACACACUCAGACAUUCAUGCCUGUAUGGAGCAUGACUAUUUCUCUUCUUAUUAUAAGCACAUACAAUAUCAUAUUUUAUAUGUCCUUUUGUGUGUGUGUCUACAAAAUACUUGUGCAUGUAUGUUUUAUGUAAAAGAAAUAAAUCAGUUAUUCUUUUUUUUUUUUAAAUAUUU
rnacentral:lncRNA from 1 species